UUAACUCAUUUAACAACUCAACCCAUUAAAUUAAAUGAGUUAUGGGUUGAGCCAACCCAUUUAACAAAAUGAGUUGGGUCAACCCAUAACUCAUUUAACCCUAAACUCAUUUGAUUAUGAGU
rnacentral:pre_miRNA from 2 species